rnacentral:rRNA from 1 species
CCUACGGGAGGCUGCAGUGGGGAAUAUUGGGCAAUGGACGCAAGUCUGACCCAGCAACGCCGCGUGAAGGAAGAAGGCUUUCGGGUUGUAAACUUCUUUUUAGGGGGAAGAGCAGAAGACGGUACCCCUUGAAUAAGCCACGGCUAAAUACGUGCCAGCAGCCGCGGUCAUACGUAGGUGGCAAGCGUUGUCCGGCUGUACUGGGUGUACAGGGUGUUCCGGCGGGGAGACAAGUGAGAUGUGAAAUCCACGGGCCCAAACCGUGAACUGCAUUUGAAACUGUUUCGAUUGAGUGUCGGAGAGGUAAACGGAAUUCCGUGUGUAGCGGUGAAAUGCGUAGAUAUAAGGAAGAACACCAGUGGCGAAGGCGGAUUACUGGACGAUAACUGACGGUGAGGCGCGAAAGCGUGGGGAGCAAACAGGAUUAGAUACCCUUGUAGUC